rnacentral:rRNA from 1 species
UACGGGGGGAGCAAGCGUUGUUCGGAUUUACUGGGCGUAAAGGGCGCGUAGGCGGCCAGCACAAGUCAGUUGUGAAAUCUCCGGGCUUAACUCGGAAAGGUCAACUGAUACUGUGCGGCUAGAGUGCAGAAGGGGCAACUGGAAUUCUCGGUGUAGCGGUGAAAUGCGUAGAUAUCGAGAGGAACACCUGCGGCGAAGGCGGGUUGCUGGGCUGACACUGACGCUGAUGCGCGAAAGCGUGGGUAGCGAACAGG